GGGGGAAACGGCUGCUCUAUGCCAGGACGAACUGCUGGCUCUGAAAUACAGAGACAAAAAGGAGGUGUUCAUACUGACUACCAUGCACAGUGAACACACACGCAGGGUCGCAGUUCGUGGCAGACAGGAAACAAGACGGCUGCCUGUCUGCAUUAAGCAAUACAAUAAACACAUGGGGGGAGUUGAUCUGUCUGAUCAACUGCUGCAGCCAUAUCUGAUAAUGAGAAAGACCAGGACCUGGUAUAAGAAAGUGGGCAUUUAUUUAAUGCAAAUGGCUACUCACAAUGCAUUCAUCCUUUUCAAAAAGGCAAAUCCUCA